UGAUGAGGGGGAGGUUGAAGGUAGAAAUCUAGUUGUCAAUCUUAAGAUUGAUGAGGGGGAGGUUGAAGGUAGAAACCUCUAGUUGUCAAUCUUAAGAUUGAUGAGGGGGAGGUUGAAGGUAGAAACUCUAGUUGUCAAUCUUAAGAUUGAUGAGGGGGAGGUUGAAGGUAGAAACUCUAGUUGUCAAUCUUAAGAUUGAUGAGGGGGAGGUUGAAGGUAGAAACUCUAGUUGUCAAUCAUAAGAUUGAUGAGGGGGAGUUGAAUGUAGAAACUCUAGUUGUCAAUCUUAAGAUUGAUGAGGGGGAGGUUGAAGGUAGAAACUCUAGUUGUCAAUCUUAAGAUUGAUGAGGGGGAGGUUGAAGGUAGAAACUCUAGUUGUCAAUCUUAAGAUUGAUGAGGGGGAGGU